rnacentral:rRNA from 1 species
AUUGAACGCUGGCGGCAUGCCUUACACAUGCAAGUCGAACGGCAGCACGGGUGCUUGCACCUGGUGGCGAGUGGCGAACGGGUGAGUAAUGCAUCGGAACGUACCCGGAAGUGGGGGAUAACGUAGCGAAAGUUACGCUAAUACCGCAUAUUCUGUGAGCAGGAAAGCGGGGGAUCGCAAGACCUCGCGCUUCCGGCGCGGCCGAUGUCGGAUUAGCUAGUUGGCGGGGUAAAGGCCCACCAAGGCAACGAUCCGUAGCGGGUCUGAGAGGAUGAUCCGCCACACUGGGACUGAGACACGGCCCAGACUCCUACGGGAGGCAGCAGUGGGGAAUUUUGGACAAUGGGGGCAACCCUGAUCCAGCCAUGCCGCGUGGGUGAAGAAGGCCUUCGGGUUGUAAAGCUCUUUCGGCUGGGAAGAAAUCGCAUCUCCUAAUACGGGGUGUGGAUGACGGUACCAGCAUAAGAAGCACCGGCUAACUACGUGCCAGCAGCCGCCGUAA